CCUACGGGAGACAGCAGUGAGGAAUAUUGGUCAAUGGGCGCGAGCCUGAACCAGCCAAGUCGCGUGAGGGAAGACGGUCCUAUGGAUUGUAAACCUCUUUUGUCGGUGAGCAAAAGACGCCACGCGUGGCGUUCCGAGAGUACCCGAAGAAAAAGCAUCGGCUAACUCCGUGCCAGCAGCCGCGGUAAUACGGAGGAUUCAAGCGUUAUCCGGAUGUAUUGGGUUUAAAGGGUGCGUAGGCGGUCGGAUAAGUUAGAGGUGAAAUCCCGAGGCUCAACUUCGGAAUGGCCUGUGAGACUGUUCGGCUAGAGAGUAGUUGCGGUAGGCGGAAUGUAUGGUGUAGCGGUGAAAUGCUUAGAGAUCAUACAGAACACCGAUUGCGAAGGCAGCAUACCGGCGCCCAACUGACGCUGAAGCACGAAAGCGUGGGUAUCGAACAGGAUUAGAUACCCGUGUAGUC
rnacentral:rRNA from 1 species